GAUGAACGCUGGCGGCGUGCCUAAUACAUGCAAGUCGAGCGAACAGACGAGGAGCUUGCUCCUCUGACGUUAGCGGCGGACGGGUGAGUAACACGUGGAUAACCUACCUAUAAGACUGGGAUAACUUCGGGAAACCGGAGCUAAUACCGGAUAAUAUAUUGAACCGCAUGGUUCAAUAGUGAAAGACGGUUUUGCUGUCACUUAUAGAUGGAUCCGCGCCGCAUUAGCUAGUUGGUAAGGUAACGGCUUACCAAGGCAACGAUGCGUAGCCGACGUGAGAGGGUGAUCGGCCACGCUGGAACUGAGACACGGUCCAGACUCCUACGGGCGGGAGCAGGAGCGAAUUCUCCGCGAUGGGCGCAAGCCUGACGGAGCACCGCCGCGUGAGUGAUGAAGGUCUUCGGAUCGUAAAACUCUGUUAUUAGGGAAGAAGAAAUGUGUAAGUAACUAUGCACGUCUUGACGGUACCUAAUCAGAAAGCCACGGCUAACUACGUG
rnacentral:rRNA from 1 species